UUUUUUGGGAAGGGGUGGGGGGGUAUUAAAGUUAUUCUAGUUGUGUGUUUUUUUAAUUUUUCAUCUUUGCCCUGCAUGCUUGUAUUGAUUGCUUAACUGGCAGAGUCAUUUUCGAAUUAUUGUAGGAAGCUUCACCAUCUGUUGUUUUCAUUAAAGACCUUGAAAUAGUUAGAAGCCCCAAGACCGCUUCUGAUGAUGUCAAUCUUAUUGAGGAUGAAAAUGCAAAAGUUGACGGGACAGGUUCAGGCUUCAUCUGGGAUAACUUUGGUCACAUUGUAACCAAUCACCAUGUUGUAGCUAAAUUGGCAACAGAUGGGAGCGGAAUACAUUGUUGUAAGAUUUAUCUAGCAGACACAAGAGGCAAUGGCUUUUACAGGGAAGGAAAGAUUGUUGGUGUUGAUCCAGAAUAUGAUCUGGCUGUCCUUAAGGUGUGCACUGAAACUAUCAUUUAAUUUCUUUGCCACGUAUUAAGCUUCUUAUCAUUGAUAUAUAAAGUAGACUUACUUUUCC